UAUCCCUAACCUCACCAAGCCAACCAUCCCCACACAUCGCGUGCCUUGGAUCGCGCCGCUGCCCUGCUCCCGUCGUUGUUCCCUUUCCCAUCCGCCACUGCUCUCCAUCGCAUCCAGCCUCUGUCACAUCCGAUCGGCUCCACCGCCACCAUGAACCAUCACUCUCCUUGGUCUCUUCUCUUUGACAUGCACACGACCGCAGAUGCUUUUGGUGGUGUGUGGCGACGCGGCCGAUCGAGGGAACCGGGGUGAGGCUGACUGUGUCCCGUUCGUCGAUCUGCCCCCAUCUCAUGUUCCUCCUCUCAAAAGGUCACGUUCGCAGUUACUGCGACACACAAUGCUAUCCUCUUUUGCAUCGGUGCCUAUAGGUGACAGCAAUGGUGUUCUGAUGUGCCCUGUUGUACCCCUCCACACUUGAGGCCACCGAGGAGAAGAUCAUGCUCCCUGUAGAAAAUUCGGCCAUGUUCUAAGUGGCUAACCGGCAAGGGUUGGACGACAUAAUGCCAACGACCUCACCCUAGGAGUCCACUUCACGGUCAUGGCAUCCGCCUCCACCAAUUUUCUAGAGGAGUUAAGUUCCAGAGACGAAUGGGGAGGUCAACUUUGAGAUGCAGCACUCUAUGUGUUCACGCAAUCGGAAUGGCCGAAAUAUCAUGCCAAUAUGAGGGACAUCCAAAAUAUCAAGCCAAUAUGCGUUUUAUGCCUUUCCUGUUAGGUAUGUUAUCAUUGAUUCAUAUGAUUAGUUGGUACUUCAGAAUAGGCACACACAUGUUUUCCAUCAUAAUCGAGAAAGUACAAAUUUUAGAUAUGGAUAUUAAGCUAUGAGGAGAACCUUAUUGGCUUGGACAUCAUAUUUUUUAGGUAGGCAAUCUUUAGUUCAUUAUGAUCAGUUAAUAUUCCUGAGCAGGGGAAGCCAUAUUGUCCACAAGGCUUGAGCAAGUCAGAUUUCUGAUAUAGAUUUUAAAUGAUCAAGACAACCUAAGUGGCUCUUUGCCAGGCCACCAUUGCCGAUAUUUAUGGAGCUGUUUUUAAAUGUGCAAAUGUCCAACCCAUUAAGACACCCUUUUAGGUUACAUAAGCAACUGCCAGUAUUUGUGGUAGUGCAUUUUACAACGAUUUGCAUAAAUUCUGCUGAGGAUAAUUAUAAAAUGCACAAAGCAUUUUAAGUUCUUUUUCCAGUUUUGUAAAUACUGAAUCAAAAUAUCGAAUAAAUAUUUUUAGGUUCAUUAAUAAAGAUAUAGUGCUCAUGUUUAGGAAGUGCCAAGUAUUAGAUGUUCCAUGUCUUUAUUAGCUUACUCUAAAUUUAAAGUACUAAAAGGUCUGAGUGGUGAGCGCUACUUCUUUGUUAUUUUAUUGUGUCUUCACAUUAUAAAAACUAGUAAAUGUGCCCGUGCGUUGCUACGGGCAAAACACGACUACACGAGGACUGUCUCGGUGUGUCAUGGCAAGCACUAAAAUUCAUCUCUGCGGGUUGCCCUUUCCUUGACCAGUAUGUACGAUUAAAGCAUGUAUAAUUAUUUCCUAUCUAAAUAGCAUCAUAGAUUUGUUGUUUUUGAAAUAACACUGAACAAAAGCAUGAGGGACUAAGAGCAGUAAGUUAGGAAACUCCUUUAGUACUCACAUAUUACAUGAAGAAUAAAUACGCCCACAAUCUUUGAAGGACUAAAUACCAUACUCAGAGAAUUAUCUACCAUGUUUGCAUUUAUCUGUAGCUUUCCUUGAUAUUGCAAAAUUCUGUGGAAACUUCUUUCUAGCUUCCAGUAACCACGACAUCAAUUCAGAUAAACAAAAUCCAUGAGCGAAAAAAAAUAAGAUAUGAAAGGGCCAUUGGCAGUGACUUUUCAUUUGUAUAUCUCAUUUUUCAGUCAUGUAUAUCGGAUGCUCGCAAGUGUUCUGCAUCAAUUUGAAAAA